rnacentral:rRNA from 1 species
GCCAACGUUCAUAUCACGUUGAAUACACCAGUUCUCGUCCGAUCACUGAAGUUAAGCAACGUUGAGCGUGGAUAGUACUUGUGUUAUUUGUU